rnacentral:rRNA from 1 species
GACGAACGCUGGCGGCGUGCCUAAUACAUGCAAGUAGAACGCUGAAGGAGGAGCUUGCUUCUCUGGAUGAGUUGCGAACGGGUGAGUAACGCGUAGGUAACCUGCCUGGUAGCGGGGGAUAACUAUUGGAAACGAUAGCUAAUACCGCAUAGGAGUAGAUGUUGCAUGACAUUUGAUUAAAAGGUGCAAUUGCAUCACUACCAGAUGGACCUUCGUUGUAUUAGCUAGUUGGUGGGGUAACGGCCCACCAAGGCGACGAUACAUAGCCGACCUGAGAGGGAGAUCAGCCACACUGGGACUGAGACACGGCCCAGAAUUCUACGGGAGGCAGCAGUAGGGAAUCUUCGGAAAUGGACGGAAGUCUGACCGAGCAACGCCGCGUGAGUGAAGAAGGUUUUCGGAUCGUAAAGCUCUGUUGUAAGAGAAGAACGAGUGUGAGAGUGGAAAGUUCACACUGUGACGGUAUCUUACCAGAAAAGGACGGCUAACUACGUG